UUCUUCACCUCUUCUUAGUUUAUUUAUGUUAUCUCCUUCAUGUCCUUUUUGUUUCGUUUGUCAUCAUCUUCUUUAUUGGAUUUUAGGGUUUAGGAAUUUUUUCAAUUAGUAUGCAAUCACAAUAUUAGCUUAAGAAUCAAAUAAUACUCUAGAUCUCGAACUCAAAUGCUCCAGCAAAAUCCAAAUUUUCAGAUUCAAGCUUUAACUUCAAAUGGGUUUUGAUAUGUUCUUCCACUUUUACCUUAACCCAAUCUUUUACUUUUGUGUGAAUAAUCUUCAUGUUCUUUGACAGUGAUAUACAGAGGGAUGAGAUUCAGGUGGUGAUAGAAACUAGGGAUGUGGUGGUGACGGGAAAGAUGGUGAAAGAGGAGGUAGCAGUUUGAAUACUGAGGGAGAAGACGAUUCCCCUGUUUUUUCUUAUGCAAAAUAGGUUACUUGUACAUGGAAUUUUAGGCCCAAUUGAUUUCUUAGCUUUACAAGUGAUUCGAAAAGGCUUAGAUGAUUUGUCAGGUCUUCAAUGAAGGCUGUAAGAGCUGCGAGAAACAAAUAGUUGCUGAAGAUUUUAGCCAAAAAAACAAACUUUGUUGAGAGGGGAGUGAUUAAAACUUGAAAAUCGCACGAAAGAUUGAGAAUGGAGGAAGAUUACAGAGAGAGGAAGGGAAGAAAGGAAUAUGCAAAAAAGUCUACCCGGGGAAAAUGGUCAA